GGUGUGUCCACGUCCCACCAACAACUUCUCCACCAGUGAAACGUGCAGCUCAGGAUUUAAGCAGCUGUAAAUGAAAAUUUGCAAAGAUCUCGUGUGUGUUUUCAGAACAAUCGGCUGAAUGCGUAUCCACUCAGUCCACUGUAGUGUCCUUGACUGCACUCUUUGAUACAUUGUGGGCUGUUAGUGGGCAUCCAAGCAGUGUUUCAGUAUGUGUGUGUGUGUGUGUGUGUGUGUGUAGACGAUGGGAAGUUUCAGGAGAGGGCACUGUAGAGGACAGUAUUUUUCCAUAUGACAGGGCUUUGUGUGCACAACAUCACACAUACACAGUGGAGUCAGGUUUCAGUGCUUCCUGAAUCACCUGUCAGUGAGGAGGAGUGCGAGGCUUUGUUGAAAUGAGGAUUGCAAACAGAAAGGACAGGGAGAAUGAGUAAAGGGGAAGAGAAAGGGAGGGAAGGAGGGGCAGAGAGAGAGAGAGAGAGAGAGAGAGAGAGAGAGAGAGAGAGAGAGAGAGUGGGUGUGAAAUCUGUUCCUGUAACUUAAGCCAAGCUGCAGGCUGUGUGUCAGAGGUGUGUCGAGGGGAAAACACAGCCUUUAUAGACGUACAGACCACAAAGGCCUCAUGUCACCUCACCAGGGAAUGUCUCUUUACACAACAUUAGUGGAAAAACUGAGAACUCUAAUUUAAAAGAGGUAUAAAACUACUUUUUGUCAUAAAGCCAGAUGACUAGACUGAAAAAGUUUCAUUUGAAUUAUAGGGAUUACCCAUAGUCACUGUGCACAGGAUGGAUGGAUGGAUGGAUGGAUGGAUGGAUAGAUAGAUAGAUAGAUAGAUAGAUAGAUAGAUAGAUAGAUAGAUAGAUACUUUAUUGAUCUCAAGGGAAAUUCAAGAAAAAAAGAAGUGAGGAUUUACCCGAGCUAUGCAAGAUCAGAUGAUGCCCUACUGUAAAUAAAGUGCUUAGUUAUGAUUUCUAGCUGCAGAGUGCUGAGUCACAGUAUAAUGACGCUAAUUUCUUUCCUGCAGCAGAAACUCAUAUUCAUUCUCAGUGACUCAGUGGAUUUCUCUUUUGAUGUGGAGAUAUGUGGACAAUACCUGUUUUUAGGCCUCGCCCUUUGUAAGCCAGAGCCACCCUGGUCAGCUUGGAGCUCAUUGUUAUUUAAGUGGGCUAUUCAGUUAGCUGAUUAGGAACCCAUUCUUAUUCAAAGCAGUACAUUUAAAUAACAAUCCAGUUUAGCUCGCUGAGUGCUCAUGUAAUGCAUAUAAACUGCCACCUUGCUCAUGUCUUAGUAAAACCAACACGUAUGGUUGUACAGUUGCAUUGUAUAUGACCACACAGUUGGUGGUAAAAGGUGGUGACAGGAGGAAUAUAACCAUGAAGAUCAGUGAGUAGCAGGGAGUGGCAGCAGUAAAACUUUUAUUUCAGAAGGAUACAUUUUACGUAUGUAUUUUGAGACCACACAGUACAAAGUAGACUCUCAAUCAUCAGUCUUGAUAUGCUGUAACAGUUUAAUACAUUUCAUGGCUAAUGUGUCAACGAACAAUUGGCUACCAUUACAUAAAAGAGUAGUCCACUUUAUAGUAUUGCACUCCUUUCAUGCUGUCAUACUCACAAUGGGCAGUUUAAAAUAAAGUAUCCAGAUCAAAGUAGCAAAACCAAUUCAGUUCAAUUUAUUUAUAUAACACCGAAACACAACAACAGUUGUCUCAUGACACUUUCCAGUUAGAGCAGAUCAAGACCAAACUCUUUAAUUUGAUUUUUAGAUACCCAACAAAACCCCCAUGAGCAAACGCUUGGCAACAGUUCCAAGGAAAAACUUCCAGAAACUGUUUACAGUCUUUUUUCAGUCCACUUAGUCUUCUCUCUCAAAACCUGCUAAUGUAGCCUUGAGUUGUCAGCCUCAAGCAUUGGUGAGGAGCUUCCUUUUUUAAAAAAAAUCCUCAAACUUCAGCUCCAGUCCACUCUGAUUCAAAUAUUGUUGGAGGCUCUGGAGCCACAAAAAUGUUUUUACAACUUCUCUUCCAAGCCCCGAUUUAAGCCUCAUUAACAUCAUCUUGGAUGGAAGGUAAUGAUGGGAAUGAUGCCCACAGUCUGGACUAGCAAACCUUUAUGCCUGUUCAAACUGGCAAAUCCAAGUUUCAUUACUAAAAAAGUGCAAUUUACUAUUUCAGUGAUUAUUCAUAUAAUGUUGAGGUACUACUUGACAGUCAAGGUUUGUCCCUUGUCCCUUGGGGUAAAGAAAAUGAUCAUUUUCCUGAAUUAAGAUUAAUUUAGGGUUUGUGCAGGAAGGCCUCAGUGUUUGCCAUCUUCUCAAACACUGGUGUUAUUCAGAGCACAGGGAUCGGAGAGAACUAGAUGGACUCAAUCCCAAUGACCAGUGGGCUAAAACAAUGAGCUACAAACUCCAGAGAGCUGCAGACUGAGUAUUGAUUCUCAAUUGAAUCAGCAGCACCAACAACAAUUUGACAUUACAGGGAUGCAUUUGUUCCACUGUCUCACAAACAUAAUGAUAAAUGUAACUUGAACAAGGUGUUGGUUAAACAGAAGUGUGGAUAUGUGAGUACAGGACCAUGCAGAGUUUGUGAGAAAAGUCAGGGCUUCCUCAUCCCCUCUGGAGUUCUACUCCUUAUACAGGCAUUAAAUUCAAAUCUACACUCUACAUUAUUGGCGGAAACUGCAGAUAUUUAUUGCAGAAUGUGUUUCACAACUCAGCUUUCAUUUCCCCAGGUUGAACAGCUGGAUCAAACAGACCAAAUGCAAAAAACACAUACACAAAUUCAUAUUAUAUUGGAGGACAAAUCAAAAAGAUGUCGCAAAGUAUCAAGUUAACUUUCAAAUACUCAAGGCUGUUCAGUUCAGAGUUCAUUAUGAUAGUGCAGUAAGUACGUCUCAAAGGUCUACAAAUGUGUAACAUAUAUCACACAAACAUAACCAGGUGCACAUAAAAUUGAAUGUAAUCUGGUUUAACUGUAGUGCACCACUCAGAGUAGACAGCAUGAAAUACUCUGCUUAUAAAUC